AGCCCGGAGAUGGAUUCUGAGACACGAAUCCAGACCCUACGGGGUGCAGCAGGCGCGAAAACUUCACACUGCAGGAAACUGUGAUGAGGGAACUCCAAGUGCUAUCACUAUGUGGUAGCUUUUCUUGACUAUUAAUCGGUCAUGGAAUAAGGGCUGGGAAAGACCGGUGCCAGCCGCCGCGGUAAUACCGGCAGCUCAAGUGGUCGUCGCUUUUAUUGGGCCUAAAACGUCCGUAGCCUGUUUGGUAAAUCUGUGGGUAAAUCAACCAGCUUAACUGGUUGAAUUCUGCAGAGACUGCCAGACUAGGGACCGGGAGAGGUGUGGGGUACUCUAGGGGUAGGGGUAAAAUCCUGUCAUCCUUAGAGGACCACCAGUUGCGAAGGCGCCACACUGGAACGGAUCCGACGGUCAGGGACGAAGCCUAGGGGCACGAACCGGAUUAGAUACCCGGGUAGUCCUAGGUGUAAACGCUGUGAACUUGGUGUCGGGGAUCCGUAAUGGGUCCUCGGUGCCGGAGUGAAGAUGUUAAGUUCACUGCCUGGGGAGUACGGUCGCAAGGCUGA
rnacentral:rRNA from 1 species